GUGAGCAAGGGACAGAUUCAAUCUUUUUCUUUUUCUUUUUUUUUGUUUUUUGAGACAGAGUCUCGCUCUGUCGCCCAGGCUGGAGUGCAGUGGCGUGAUCUCGGCUCACUGCAAGCUCCUCCUCCCGGGUUCACGCCAUUCUCCUGCCUCAGCCUCCCAAGUAGCUGGGACUACAGGCGCCCACCACCACGCCCAGCUAAUUUUUUUUUUGUACUUUUAGUAAAGACGGGGUUUCACCGUGUUAGCCAGGAUGGUCUCGAUCUCCUGACCUCGCGAUCCACCUGCCUCAGCCUCCCAAAGUGCUGGGAUUACAGGUGUGAGCCACUGCGUCCGGCCCAGUAUUUUUCAAAUAAUGAACACAGGUCUCUCCCGUUCUGUACUCUGGACAUUGGGCCUGGAUCAUUCUCUGGGGUGGGGCCGUCCUCGGCACUGUAGGCUGCUGAGCAGCGUCCCUGGCCUCCACCCACUCCAUGCUGGGAGCACCCCGUAGUCGUGACUACCAGAAAUGUCCCCACAUUCUACUCAGGAUCCUAAGAGAACCACUCCCAAGCAUUAUUGAGGUCACACUUUUUUUUGUUUUUGUUUUGAGAUAGGUUUCAUUUCUGUCGCCCAGGCUGGAGUGCAGUGGCACGAUCUUGGCUCACUGCAACCUCUGACUCCCGGGUUCAAGUGAUUCUCCUGCCUCAGCCUCCCUAUAGUAGUUGGAACUACGGGUGUGCACCACCACGCCUGGCUAAUUUUGGAAUUUUUAGUAGAGAUGGGGUUUCGCCAUGUUGCCCAGGCUGGUCUUGAACUCCUGACCUCAAGUGAUCUGCCCACCUCGGCCUCCCAAAGUGCUGGGAUAAUAGGCAUGAGCCACCGCGCCCGGCCCAGGUCACACCUUUGAACACUUCAGUGGGCUCAUUUUAUGUGUGAAUUUUUAGCCUAAUUGUGAACUGUUGAGUUAUUUAAACCUUCGCACCCAAACUUCCUUGGUCCAGAGAGGAUUUGAAGCUCAUACAUAAACAACACAGCAGCAUUGCAAAUCAAGGAAUGGAGGAGACGGUGAAGCCAUGACAACAGAAGACCCUGAGGUGGAGAAGAUGACGCCUUCCUGUUGGAAUCACGGGCUCAGACUACAUGGGGAAAACGGAAAACACACGUGCAACCCUCACACAACGUGUGCACCCUGCAGGCUCAAAAACCAAAGCUGUGCCAGGCGCGGUGGCUCACACCUGUCAUCCCAGCACUUUGGGAGGCCGAGGCGGGUGGAUCAUGAGGUCAGGAGAUCGAGACCAGCCUGGCCAACAUGGUGAAACCCCGUCUCUACUAAAAAAAUACAAAAAUUAGCUGGACGUGGUGGCACACGCCUGUAAUUCCAGCUACUCAGGAGACUGAGGCAAGAGAAUCACUUGAACCCGAGAGGCGGAGGUUGCAGUGAGCCGAGAUCGUGCCAUUGCACUCCAGCCUGGGCAAUAGAGAGAGACUCUGUCUCAAAAAAAAAAAAACAAAAACAAAAGCUGUUUGCGUCAAAGGAAGGGUCGGUUAGUUCCUUCCCUCCAGGACUGAAUCCAUGAGAACUGCAGAAAUUUAGGAUUAGGAACCAGUUCGCCCAGGGUUCCUAAAACCUGCAAUCACUGGGAGAGGCCCAUCCCACCCGGAAGAACCUGAUUGAGUGGUCUGGGGUGUGCCGGGCACAGGGCAGUUGAGACUCCAGGUGACAGUUACCGGCAGCUCAGGGUGGAGGCUGUGUGAGCCCGGCCGAGUCCUACAGGAAGCGUCUGCAGAGUGUAAUGUGCUCAGCGCUUCUGCAGGGGACGGGCGGAAUGAUGUGUGCAGACAUUUUAAACCAUGGUAGAGGCCGGGCACGGUGGCUCACGCCUGUUAUCCCAGCACUUCGGGAGGCCAGGGCAGGCGGAUCAUCUGAGGUUAGGAGUUCGAGACCAGCCUGGCCAACAUGGUGAAACCCCGUCUCUACUAAAAAUACAAAAAUUAGUCAGGCGUGGUGGUGGGCACCUGUAAUCCCAGCUACUCGGGAGGCUGAGGCAGGAGAAUCGCUUGAACCUGGGAGGCGGAGGUGGCAGUGAGCCAAAAUCGCACCACUGCACUCCAGCCUGGGCGACAGAGCCAGACUCCG
rnacentral:lncRNA from 1 species